rnacentral:rRNA from 1 species
AUGACUGUAGGUAGAAAGCUUACAUCUCUUCGGAGCAUUUUACGAGGUGCUGCAUGGUUGUCGUCAGCUCGUGCCGUGAGGUGUCGGGUUAAGUCCCAUAACGAGCGCAACCCCUACCUUUAGUUGCCAUCAGGUAAUGCUGGGGACUCUAAAGGAACUGCCUACGCAAGUAGUGAGGAAGGCGGGGAUGACGUCAAAUCAGCACGGCCCUUACGUCCAGGGCUACACACGUGCUACAAUGGCCGAUACAGAGGGCAGCUACCUGGUGACAGGAUGCUAAUCUCAAAAGCCGGUCUCAGUUCGGAUCGGAGUCUGCAACCCGACUCCGUGAAGUUGGAUUCGCUAGUAACUCGCGCAAUACAGCCAUGGCGCGGUGAAUACGUUCCGGGCCUU